rnacentral:rRNA from 1 species
GACGAACGCUGGCGGCGUGGAUUAGGCAUGCAAGUCGAACGGUAGGAUACCUUCGGGUAUCUGAGAGUGGCGAACGGGUGAGUAACACGUAGGUGAUCUACCCUCAAGAUUGGGACAACCCAGGGAAACUUGGGCUAAUACCGGAUGAAAGCAGCAGUGAUGUUGUUUGAAAGGUGGCGUAAGCUGCCGUUUGGGGAUGAGCCUGCGCUCUAUUAGUUAGUUGGCGGGGUAAAGGCCCACCAAGGCGAUGAUAGAUAGGCGGCCUUAACGGGUGGUCGCCCACACUGGGAUUGAGAUACGGCCCAGACUCCUACGGGAGGCAGCAGUCGAGAAUAGUCUACAAUGGCCGAAAGGCUGAUAGUGCGACGCCGCGUGAACGAAGAAGCCCUUCGGGGUGUAAAGUUCUUUUAUAUGUGAGCAGUGCUUUCUAUGUGAACAGCAUGGGGAGAGAGAUAUUAGCAUAUGAAUAGGCAACGGCUAACUCCGUG